AAAGCUCCACCUUUUGGUUUAACCCUGGAAUUGCGUCUUUGGUACUAAAAAUGGGGGCAGCCUCAUUAACAUUUUUAACACCUUCCCCAGACAGACAGGAGGGGGGCUGCUGACAUUCGGGUCAUGAGGGUGUGAUAAGUAUGUGAUCAUCGCUGGAAAGGGCACUGACAGUCGACUAAAAUCAGCGAAAAUGAACCGCUCCAUUUGUAUAAUGAUAACAUCAACAGGAAAGCCUUUAAACUAUGGUAAUUUAUUUAAAAAAAUGUUAAAAGCAGUACAAAGACCAGCAAAAAUAGUCAUUUGCUAAUGCACUGGUCAUACUAAUGCUAAAGACAGAGUGUUAAAAGUAAGUGCUAAAACAGAUGAAGAAGCCGAAGGAGCUGCACUCUCCUACAACAAAUGCAAGACAGCACUCCCAAAAGUGAAAAAGAUAAAUGGAGCCUUAAAGGAGCAACUGUUAAUCCACAGGGUUCUUAUGUUUGACAGGAGGGGAAACCUAUUCUACCAGAAUCCCUCUAUAAAUGGGCAUGAUAAACCAUGGGCCAUACCAUGUCUCAACAGGGGGGGUGGUAAGAAUAUAAACAAAUACUAUACUACGUAUGAAUUUACAAAUGAUUCUAAAAAUUUUGUUCUCGAUACAUAACCCUCAAGGAAAUAUUUGACAAACGAGAGGAACAUUACCUAAAGCAAAAUAUCUGUUCGAAUAUUUUCAAAUGGAUUUCUGCGAAUUAAUUAGGUGUCAGGGUAAAAAGUAUUGUUUGACAAUUAUUGAUGCUUUUUCUAAAUGCGUAGAAGUGUUCCCCACAAACACUAAUGAUUCACUAGCUGUAGUAAAAAUUCUAGUACGAGACUUAAUACCCCGAUUUGGGAUAUGGGAAAGAAUUUAUAGUGAUAACAGUCCACACAGAUCUUUCCUCCCUGCUGCUAUCACACCAUAUAAGCAGAACUGUUAACUACCUCUGGCUACAUUAACUCACCCCCUGCAUCAGUGGUUUAUGUAAUAAUCUUCUUAUAAUCUCUAUUUGUGCAGACUCUGUGCAAUACUUAUAUAUUUAUACAAUAUGCAGUAACUCGUCUGCACAAUAUUUGUGCCAAUCAGUGCAAUAUUUAUAAACCUUCCAAUGCCUUCAAUAUGUAAAAGGUGUUAAAUAAUCACCAGAAAUGUUUUUCUGAAAAUGCUUCUCAAUAUGUACCUUGCCUACUGAUUACCUUAACCAGGUGUGUUUAGUCAAUGACAAGCUGGAAAAGCACACUGAGACAACGGAUCAAGGUAAUCAGCAGAGAGAUCUGGAAAACCAGCAGGGACUACGCGCCAGAAAGUGUCACUAUCCGUGUUUCCAUGGUUUUGGGGAAGGAAACAUCAUGCUAAGAGUUGAAACCAUAAAUUACCGUAUGACCCUGUUUUUUAAUGUCACAGUAAAAACCCUUGCCAGUAUAUAUCGUUGUUUCACCGCCCUAACACUCCGUGACAUACUGGUGUUAGUUCUGCUGACUGCAAGCCAAGGUGGAGUGUGAGCUAUAGUUGGCCCCAAAUGCUGCACAUACAUUCUAGGAGAAGACCAAGAUGCAAAGGUCACCCAACAGGCAAUCCGUGACCUACAGCGCAUAUCCAAUGUGCAGGUGAAAGUGAAAGAUAAAUCCUGGUUUGGCACCUGGACUGACAUCCUGAUAAAGAUCUUUGGACCGGUUCUUGUGAUCCUCUGGGUUCUGUUGCUCUAUACGUAAUUCCCUGUUUGAGGGUCAUGAUCAUCAGGCUGGUUAAUCGAGGCCUUCUCAGGGUGUGCCCAGUCAUGCACUCUCUACAAUUACGCUACACACCUUUGAAGCUUGAUAAUGGAACCUCGGCGCUGUUGACGGAAAUACACUGUAAGCUGAAAAUAUUGUACUUCUGUGCUUUUGACUCUGCCUAAGAUAUUGCAACAUUUAUUCCAUGUUUUAUGACAACUGUAUUUAAAAUCAAAAUGUGCUGUUCUGAUGUAUAUAUGAUUGUUUAAUGAAUGUUUCAUUGUUAAACAGAAAAACACUGCAUUUAAUCAUUGAAACAUAUUUUGCUGAAUUGCUGUAACCCCGUUAGCUGUGCUAUAUAUUAUGAGCUGAAUUCUUGUCUUUUCUAAAGUGAGCGGAAGAUGCCUAGCUGCUUACUGCUCACUCCUUGCAAGUAAAAUCUCAAAUGAUUUUGCCUCCUUUAUUUAAGAUUUACAAAGGGAACUCACAAUUUCCCUAACACUAUAGAUCUGUGAGACUGGAGAUAACAUAAACAGAAACAUGUCACUUUAUGGACAGUUAAAGGGCUCAUAUCAUGCAAAAUCCACUUUUUAGACAUUUUGGAGCGUUCCUAUGACUCUAUGGGUCACAUAUACACAUACUGAGCACGGUAGAAAUGCAUUUCCUGCUUUUUUCACAUUUUGAAAACGUAAAUUUUCUCACCCAAUGAAAACAGACCACGACCUACUCUGAGGCCGUGUCCCAGUUGUCGUCACCUUGGUCGGAAGUUCUCCCUGCAAAUCCUGAACCACCACCCCCACAAUGAUCCCGAACCAAAACUGGACUUCCGCCAUUUCCCCCCUCUCACUCACCGUGAACAGACCAGCACGGCAGCGCCCAAGUCCUCCCAUAGAAAUAGUUCGGUUCUUGGGUGUUCUAACCAACACCAAAGUCUAUUCACUUUAACAAGGGAUCAACAAGUGAGGAUUUGUGGGUCACUUUUAUUUUUAACGGACCGGUGCCAGAAACACUGCCUCAGCAUUUAUACUUAUGUGCAUUUCAAACGAGGGUGCGUACAAUGCUGGAUUUGUUUCACGGCUCCUGUUGGAAAAAAAGGAUCUAUUCCUAAAGUCUGUCAUCCACUCACUGAAGAGGGCAAAUCCCAGUUACCUACAUGCAAGGAGGCUGUCAAACAGAGAAAUCACUGCAGACUGUUGGUACACAGGCAUCUGCUGCCCAGCUCAGGAGUGAAGUACCUUUUUGUUUUGAUGAGGUGAUGGUGAGGACAGCCACAGCUUCCAUCUGGUAGAGGACUGCUUCCGCUCAGUCUUCCAAAUAGUGAUGAGAACAAGGAUCACCACAUCUCCCUGUUUACCCUACUUUCAUGCAUUUCGUCUGCAGGGCCCUGCAAAAGCUUCUGACCUCAAACCCCCAGACCUCUUAAUUAACUCAGUAACCUAUACAUUGCACAUUGGAGUGUGAAGGUAACAGUUUGUUCUAGCUUUGGAGUAGUGGUGCAUUUUUUUUGGUUUACAAUAAAGUUGGCUUUAACUAUUA